rnacentral:rRNA from 1 species
GGGAGUACGGCCGCAAGGUUAAAACUCAAAUGAAUUGACGGGGGCCCGCACAAGCGGUGGAGCAUGUGGUUUAAUUCGAUGCAACGCGAAGAACCUUACCUGGUCUUGACAUCCACGGAAGUUUUCAGAGAUGAGAAUGUGCCUUCGGGAACCGUGAGACAGGUGCUGCAUGGCUGUCGUCAGCUCGUGUUGUGAAAUGUUGGGUUAAGUCCCGCAACGAGCGCAACCCUUAUCCUUUGUUGCCAGCGGUCCGGCCGGGAACUCAAAGGAGACUGCCAGUGAUAAACUGGAGGAAGGUGGGGAUGACGUCAAGUCAUCAUGGCCCUUACGACCAGGGCUACACACGUGCUACAAUGGCGCAUACAAAGAGAAGCGACCUCGCGAGAGCAAGCGGACCUCAUAAAGUGCGUCGUAGUCCGGAUUGGAGUCUGCAACUCGACUCCAUGAAGUCGGAAUCGCUAGUAAUCGUGGAUCAGAAUGCCACGGUGAAUACGUUCCCGGGCCUUGUACACACCGCCCGUCACACCAUGGGAGUGGGUUGCAAAAGAAGUAGGUAGCUUAACCUUCGGGAGGGCGCUUACCACUUUGUGAUUCAUGACUGGGGUGAAGUCGUAACAAGGUAACCGUAGGGGAACCUGCGGUUGGAUCAC